UACGUAGGGCGCAAGCGUUAUCCGGAAUUAUUGGGCGUAAAGAGCUCGUAGGCGGUUUGUCGCGUCUGCCGUGAAAACUCGGGGCUUAACCCCGGGCCUGCAGUGGGUACGGGCAGACUAGAGUGCGGUAGGGGAGACUGGAAUUCCUGGUGUAGCGGUGAAAUGCGCAGAUAUCAGGAGGAACACCGAUGGCGAAGGCGGCAUCCUGGACCGGCAUUGACGCUGAGGAGCGAAAAGCCAGGGGGAGCAAAACGGGG
rnacentral:rRNA from 1 species